GGAGGGCCCGCGGGGCCGGUGUGCGCGUGUGUGCUCGCCGCCCAGCCAGCCGCUGGGCAGGGCCCAGGCGCGUCAGGGCCCGGAGGUCGGCAUUCAAGGUCACUGGCUGUUGGAUGGAGAUGUUUUGGAGCAAGACAGGAGCAGAGGCGUGGCAUCCCAUUAUUGGAGCAGGUCAGAGAGAACUGCUGGUUGGAAUAAGGUGAUGCAGCAGAAAUGAAGGAAGUAAAGGGGCUCAUCUAUAUUUGGAGGAUGAAAAGUUCUACCUGUGUUGAAGUUCUGCAUAACUUGGAAUGGACAAAGGAAAGCUGCAUCCUUCAAACUCUUGUAGAGAGAAAGUGAGCACAAAAAAAUGAAGAUCAGCACUCUAGCUGUAUAACUCAGCAGUGGAAUUGCUGGGGUUUGGGGGCCCACAACCAACAUUCCUCAGGAACUUUCCAAGGCAGCUGUGCUAAUUUACAUUCCCCCCAUCAGCAGUGGAGACAAGUUCCACUACUCCCAAUUUCUCCCCAGCUCACUGGCUUCGUGGAGGCCUGCAACAUUAAUGAAGCAGACAUGGCCACUGUCUCUCUAGGGAAGGUCAAGGCUAAGUAGAGGUAACUUAAGAGCCUGGACCCCUUCUGGGGCUUCUGAGCCUGUGAAAUCAGAGUCUGGAGAACUAGAUCAAAGAGUUCUAAUGAUGUCUCUCUACAAAAGCCCAAAGCACUUGUUGCUGUAGAGAGGCCCCCAGCCCCCCAUUGUAUCCCAGUGAUAGCUUCAUGCCAGGCCUUGGCUCCUGCCCACUCCCUUUAUCUCUGAACUAACCAGUCACCCGUUCACAUAGCCUGUCUCUGGGCAGGAAGCUAGGCAUUUGAUAGCACUGACUUGCUACCAUCUUGCUCCGGUCCUCCAGUCACCUUAGUGGAGUCAUGGUAUAUUCAGACCUAAUGUAUGGACUCCACUAGUCAGAUCCUGGGAAGCCAGCCUCUAGCCUCUUUUUGUGUGUGUGUGGAGAAUGCUCGCCUCCCAGUUAUGUACUGUCCCAUAUUCUCAGCCCCUUGCACAAGGUUAACUAAAAAUGCCCAGUUGACUAGUGACCAGACAACAGGGUGGAGAGUGUCUGGGUGGAGAGCACCAGCUCCAGCCCCACCCCCGCUCCACCCCAUUACUGGGAGUUGAUCAAGGCCCUGUAGUUGUCAGUUGUGGCCGCCAGAGGGCGAAGUACGCAGCACUUUGGGAGAGCCGGUUUAGGAAUGACGGAAUUUCCACUUUCCAAAAUCAAACUAGACAAACUUACUGUCUCUGCGUAUUCCAGCUGUGUUCGCCGUCCUUCAUCUGAGUUUGGUAGCACCCCCUCAAGAAAGGUCUUUUUAACCUGCCUGCCUACCCCCUCCCUCCCCCUCCUAGCCCUUACCGGCCAUGGGGCAGGUCCUUGUUGCCGCCGUCCUCGGGCCCCACCUCCCCAGACCAGACGCUGAUCUCACACGCCUGGAAGAAGCCUGAUGAGUUAGGAUCUCCUUGGCCUUUUUCUCUCCCUUGGCCAUGUCCUUUUGCUUCCGCAGCCUGAUCUCUGACACAGUUUUUCCCAUAUCUUUCUUUUAAGGAAGACUUCUCUGCCCCUUACAUUAUUAUAGUAUGGUCCUUCUACUCAUAGCAAAUAGUGCCUGGUGUGUGUGAAAGGAAUUGGUGUGUCCCUGCCUUCUGCAAAGAGCAGAGGUGUGAGCCUGCAUGUUAGUGUUAGCAAGUUGACUCACCCUAACCAAAAACAUUGAAGAUUAGCAUAAACCUAAGUGCCAAGUUGUUUAUUUGCACUAAAAGCAGUGAUAAUCUGUCCCACUUAAUGAACACUUUCCACAUUCUAGGCACUAUGCUGAGUGCUUUAAAGACACCAUUUAUUCAAUCAUAGAAAUCCAGGAAGUUAAUGAUCAUUUCUUCACUUUCCAAGCGAAGAGUCUGAGACUCAGAAAGGUUAAGUGACUUGCCUGAGAUCACAAAGCUUGCAAGUGGUAGCAGUGGGACAUGAAACAGAACGAGCUGGCUUCAUUAUUUCUGCACCCUCCUGCCCCCUGAUCAAGCUGUCCACUCCCUGGGGACCCCCCUGGCAGGACACCAGUGUCCUUCAGUGGCACCCAUGCAUUGCAGUGAUCCCAUCUGUGUGACAGUGCAGGUGCACACCAUUCAUCACAGAGCAUCUCACUGCCUGGAGAGAGAUCUGGAAACAUGUGUCCCGAAUGUUUAUGCUGCUUAACCAGAAGAGUGGCUUCUUCUGGUUAGUUGCUUCUCUAUCUUUUCAAUUUUUUACGAAUGUAUUUUAUUUUUUUAAUCAGAAGCUAUUUUCAUAAUGUUGGGGGGGAGUCCUUCGCAUUCAUUCUGACUUAUGUGUCUGCCUGUCUGGCAAGGGUUGGAGCCCUGUGACAUCUUCUCCAACACUCUGCCCUCCUCAGUGCCCUAUUGUCCCUACCUUGAUACUUACGAUGCUUGUCACACUUAUUUACUUAUCUGUAUCCCCAGCACCCAGCCCCAACUCUGAGCUUCUGGAGAGCAGGAGCUCUGCCAGAUUCAAUGUCCCCACGACCUGAUAUGGGCGGUGGAUCCGAGUAGUAGUAACUAAUGCUAUUUCAGCACUUACUGAAAUGGAGCAGGAUCCUAUGACCCUUGCCCCUCAUGUCCUCAGCCUGCCUUUUGUCUGUGGAAAAACUUUAGCCAAAAAAUAAAUUUAAUCAGGGAAGUGAGGAAAUGCUGAAACAAAGGAAAAUAGUCUAUCAAGACUAAAUAAUAAUAGUUUAGCCAUUAAGCAUAGUCAAGGACCUUUAGUUCCUCUUCAAGGGCUAUAGUUAAUAUUCUGAGCCUUUGAACUGUCUCACAGACUGAAACCCCCACCAGGUGGAAGAAGUUAGCUACAUGAUGACUGGACUGUAGCCCUGAUAUAAACUGCCACAACUGCAAGAAUUGGGCUCAAAGAAAUGGGAACAAGCAGAUCCUGGAACUAAAGACUCACUGUACUUAAAAAAAUGAAGAGGACACCGAUCAGGGCACUGCAAGACUGAUUUCAAGAUGACUUUUAAAGCUGACUGUGCUGUUUCUGAAUGUAACUCCCUUCCUUCAUCUAUAAAAGUUCUUGCCCACUGAUUGUCAGUGGUGGGGAGUCGGUCUUUGGAUAGGAGUCUGCCCUCCCCAUUGGUUGCCUGCCUCCAAAGUAAACCAAACUUUCAUUUCCACCA